CGUCAAGAUCGAGCAUCGUAUAUGCAAAUUUCUCUAUUAACAUACGAUUAUCGAGCGAUAGAUUUUUUAAUACGAUUAUUAGCCGGAAAAAACAAGCCAAACGAACACUCUCUUUGGAUAAAACUGUUACAAGGUCCGUCUACGGGGUUAUCGAUUCGAGUAAAUGUUCCCUUGAACUUAACGCGACGCGUAGAUCCACGAGCAGUUUGUCGAAUGAGAAAUUUUACGUUCCGAGUCAAUUGAAUUAUUUUCACUCAAGAGUGGAGAUUCCUGGUUUGUUUGUUGUCUUCACAUACGUACGAACGAUGAAGCCAUCGAAUUUCUUGAAACGUCAAACCAGUUUUCCACCAGCUCAACCAACGUUUUUUUUUAAUUUCGCCUCACGUUAUCUUGUGAAAUAAUGAAUAAUUAGCUCAUCUUCCAAAUAUCGAAGUUCGUACAACAACAAAGGUUUGAUUAGAAGAAGAAUAGCCGAAAUCACACGAUGAAAAUUUAUCAGCCCCUUCGGAGCAGUACGCUAUCUGUACUGUCACCGGCUAUUUUUUUUCAUCAUAGCUCGCGUGUGACGGCCGGAUCAAGAUAUUAUAGCGUCCUGACGUUCCAUUCAAACGAUCAGUUCGACAGUGACCGUGGCCGAGUAACAACAAGAUUCGAUGGUCCAAGAAUAGACAAAAAAACAUCAGAGCGAACCAAUUUCUUCUCGCGCGAUAAGAACUGGACACACACGAUAUAUUUUUUGGCUCGGAUUGAACUUAUUGGCUUAUUUUUCGAUUCUUCCUGCAAAUCCGAAGCGAUAUAAACAAAGAUGAUUGGUUUAACGUUGGUUUUCUCGACGAUACUCCUUUGGGGGCUGGAGGUCGAAUCGAGCGUACUCGUCGCCGACAUGACGAUGUCGAGGAUGGUCGAGCUCAACGCGGGUGCUCCGUUCUGUGCUCUUUAUCACGAUCGUGGAAUAAUUCAGCAGAUGAUCCUCGGCGCGGAUCCGAAAAAAGUUCGACAGAUGUCGAGCAAUCUCAUCGACGAUCUCGAGGAGACCUGCAAAGAGUCGAGAAACAAGGGAAAAAAUCAACCGCCGGGAGGAGGAUUGAUUUAUCCAGGAACAAAGUGGUGCGGCCCAGGAAAUAUCGCCGCUUCGUACGACGAUUUGGGUCAUCACGCGAACGAGGAUGCCUGCUGUCGGGAGCACGACCAUUGUCCCGUCGUCAUACUACCGCGAUCGUGUAUUCAUGGAAUUUGCAAUACUUCUCCGUUCACUCGUUCUCACUGUGAUUGCGAUGCCAAAUUUCGACGUUGCCUUCAAAAUUUGAACACCGAGGUUGCCAACACCCUGGGGGCGCUUUUCUUCAACGUCGUACAGGUCACCUGUUUCAAGGAGCGACGUCCGUGCUCCCAAUGGCAGAGGAACGGCUACGGAGAGGCAGAAUCGAAUCGUCUUUGCUCUCAGUACAAAUUCCGUCCGAGUGACAAGUACGUGCCGUUAAUGCCGCUCAAUAUGAACAUAUGAAUUCGAAAGCAACAGAAAUCGGAGCCCGGGAAUCGCUGAUUUUGUUCAGUGGAAGCUCCUGUACGAGUAACGAAUAUUCAUUUGAAAAAAAGUCGUAUUUAUGAUAGUUUCUCGAUAACAGAAGAUCCAACAUUGAAAAUCCUCCUCGUACAUACGAAAUUCAAAAUUCAUUUUUUCCGCAUGUGGGAUUCCGCGUCAUAAAAUGCGUAUACCAAGUUUUAUCGAUAACCACAGCAUUUGAAUUCACGCGUCAGUAACGAGUGAUGACGAUGCGGAAAUGAAAUUCGAUCUAUAGUGAUCCCUGGAUUUUGAAAUAGUGAUCGAAAAACAUAUCAAGGUUCACGGACAAUUGAACAUUUUCAACGACCGACCGAAUUUUAAUGCAAAAAAACCUGUGGCCUUCUUCAUGUCUUUUUUCGAUAAAAAUGAUGUAUUAUUACGAAACUCAUAUACCUCCUUAAAGCGUAGCGACAAGAGUGACCAAGUGCUUUAUGUUAAUUCUUCAACGUGAAUCGAGUGUCAUUGAGAGAAUGGACUCUAGAGACAAAAACACUUGAGUGAUGUAUGCCGAAGUUAUUGAAAUCGUGCGUCGAUUCUUGUGCAGGUUUUCGUCUUUCCCUCUUUGUCUAACGACAUCUCUAUUUUUCAUAGAGAAAUUGGCGUUAUUUGUAACCGAAUUUUGUCGUUUGAAUAAUGAGAGCAGAGCGCACGAUUAAUCAGUCGGCGGUCGGGGGAUAGAAGAUUUUCUCGCGAGUAUAGAUUCGGCUGCCGGCUCUGUUAAAAAAAGAGAAAAUUGAAAAUAAUUCCAUCAUUGAAAUAAAUUUGGUAGAGAUAGCAAGAAUUUCACAUGUUCGUGCCAUCAUCAUAAAAGUUGGAAAAAAGUAACAAAGCACGAACCCCCGUUCGCUGACGGGUUGAAAAAUUCUAACUGUUUUUUUUUUAUCAAACUGCACUUGUUGGGGGAACGUUCGUUUCACGGGUAUAAAAAAGAAAAAAAAUACAGAGCCGAUAGCCCGACACAUUUUCUUUUUGCAGUAUUCAAUCAAAGCAAUGUCCGAUUGUGAGUAAAAGGUCGAAAGCCGAAAGUAUCGUGGUAGAUUCUGUUGACAGAGUUAGAAAAUAAGACAUGUGAUAUACUGUUUCAUAAUCAUUGUAUCGGCUGGAUAUUAUAGAUUAUAAUAAUAAAGAAAGGUUUUCGUCAGCAAGUAAUCGAAGCAAAGAAUUACGUUUGAAGAUUAUUGAACACAGCGAUUUCAAGAAAAUAUCAUUGUUAGCUGAAUAUUAGGGCAAACAAUAAUUCAACACGAGGCGAAUGAGAAACAAAUGUAUCGACAGAGUUUUUACUUCUGAAAACAAUCGUUGCAGUGUUAAAAAUUCUUGGUGAAUUAAACGUUUGGCACGAUUCUACAUACGAAAAAUUCCUAAUGUAUUAUGACGAUCCUAUUGGAACAUACGUUUGGAGUUUUCUUUUUUCUUUAAAAAAUUUUCCACAAAUUUGAUCACGCACGUACACUGUGAGACGCAUCAACUACAAGAUUAGCAUUAUAUUAGUUUUAUAAUAUGUUUUUUUCGUUGACACAGGAUGAAAAAAUUAUAAAGAAGUACUGACGAAUGAAUUCCUCCUGUUUAGUAUCAUUCGUUGCCCUCAUCAACAUUCACAGUAAUAUAGCAAUGAAAUUUCAGGAUGUACUAGCGAGUCAACAAAUAUUUCGUUCGUUUAAGAUGUUACGGGUUAAGGUACGAGCGGACCAUUGCAUGUUGAUCGUUGAACAAUGAAUAAUAUAAUUCUUUGCUGUUUCAUUCGUUAAAUAUUGAAUAAUAAAUGGCUUAUAUAACAAGAA
rnacentral:misc_RNA from 1 species